GUGUAUAUACACGUAUACACACGUGUGUAUAUAUACGUAUACACAUACACGUGUGUGUAUAUAUACGUAUACACA
rnacentral:pre_miRNA from 13 species